rnacentral:rRNA from 1 species
UGAAUACGAGACGCUACGGCGUCGAAGCAGUCUAUGUCAUACUUCCAAGAAAAGCUCGCAAUGUCAUAAACAAAUAAUGCCUGUACCAUAACCGACACAGGUGGGUAGGUAGAGUAUACUAAGGGGCGCGAGAUAACUCUCUCUAAGGAACUCGGCAAAAUGACUCCGUAACUUCGGGAGAAGGAGUGCCUUAUUUAUAAGGUUGCAAUAACAAGAUCCAAGCAACUGUUUAUCAAAAACACAGGUCUCCGCUAAGUCGUAAGACGAUGUAUGGGGGCUGACGCCUGCCCAGUGCCAGAAGGUUAAAGAAGUUGGUUAGCAUUCGCGAAGCUGAUAACUGAAGCCCUGGUGAACGGCGGCCGUAACUAUAACGGUCCUAAGGUAGCGAAAUUCCUUGUCGGGUAAGUUCCGACCCGCACGAAAGGCGUAAUGAUUUGGAUACUGUCUCGGAGAGGGGCUCGGUGAAAUAGACUUGUCUGUGAAGAUGCGGACUACCUGCACCUGGACAGAAAGACCCUAUGAAGCUUUACUGUAACUUGAAAUUGAAAUUGGACUUUAUUUGCGCAGCAUAGGUGGGAGGCGUUGAGAGUAUUCUUGCGGGAAUAUUGGAGCCACCAGUGAGAUACCACUCUUGUAAUGUUAGAUUUCUAACUUUGUAUCAUUAUCUGGUCAAAGAACAGUUUCAGGCGGGCAGUUUGACUGGGGCGGUCGCCUCCCAAACGGUAACGGAGUCGUACAAAGGUUUCCUCUGAACGGGUAGAAAUCGUAUCUAGAGUGUAAAGGCAUAAGGAAGCUUGACUGUGAGACCUACAAGUCGAGCAGGGACGAAAGUCGGUCUUAGUGAUCUGACGGUGCUGAGUGGAAAGGCCGUCACUCAACGGAUAAAAGUUACUCUAGGAUAACAGGCUGAUCUCCCCCAAGAGUUCACAUCGACGGGGAGGUUUGGCACCUCGAUGUCGGCUCAUCGCAUCCUGGGGCGGUAGUACGUCCCAAGGGUUGGGCUGUUCGCCCAUGAAAGCGGUACGCGAGCUGGGUUCAGAACGUCGUGAGACAGUUCGGUCCAUAUCCGGUGUAGGCGUUAGAAUAUUGAGAGGAGCCUUCUUUAGUACGAGAGGACCGAGAAGGACAUACCUCUGGUGUACCAGUUAUCGUGCCAACGGUAAACGCUGGGUAGCUAUGUAUGGAGAGGAUAACCGCUGAAAGCAUCUAAGUGGGAAGCCCACCUCAAGAUAAGUAUUCUC